CCCUACGGGGUGCAGCAGGCGCGAAACCUUCACAAUGUGCGAAAGCGCGAUGAGGGGAUCCCAAGUGCUUGCUCGUAAGAGUAAGCUGUUUUUAUGUCUAAAAAGCAUAGAGAGUAAGGGCUGGGUAAGACGGGUGCCAGCCGCCGCGGUAAUACCUGCAGCUCAAGUAGUGACCGCUAUUAUUGGGCCUAAAACGUUCGUAGCCGGUUUGAUAAAUGCCUGGGUAAAUAGUGUAGCUUAACUAUACGAAUUCCGGGUAGACUGUUAAACUUGAGACCGGGAGAGGCUAGAGGUACUCCUGGGGUAGAGGUGAAAUUCUGUAAUCCUGAGGGGACCACCAGUGGCGAAGGCGUCUAGCUAGAACGGGUCUGACGGUGAGGAACGAAGCCCUGGGGCGCGAACCGGAUUAGAUACCCGGGUAGUCCAGGGUGUAAACGCUGCUUGCUUGACGUUAGUUGGGCUCCGAGCCCAAUUAGUGUCGGAGAGAAGUUGUUAAGCAAGCUGCCUGGGAAGUACGAUCGCAAGAUUGAAACUUAAAGGAAUUGGCGGGGGAGCAC
rnacentral:rRNA from 1 species